UUCAGGAGAGCGGUUUGUAUACUCCU
rnacentral:misc_RNA from 1 species